CAAGGCGACGAUCCCUAGCUGGUCUGAGAGGAUGACCAGCCACACUGGAACUGAGACACGGUCCAGACUCCUACGGGAGGCAGCAGUGGGGAAUAUUGCACAAUGGGCGCAAGCCUGAUGCAGCCAUGCCGCGUGUAUGAAGAAGGCCUUCGGGUUGUAAAGUACUUUCAGCGGGGAGGAAGGUGUUGUGGUUAAUAACCGCAGCAAUUGACGUUACCCGCAGAAGAAGCACCGGCUAACUCCGUGCCAGCAGCCGCGGUAAUACGGAGGGUGCAAGCGUUAAUCGGAAUUACUGGGCGUAAAGCGCACGCAGGCGGUCUGUCAAGUCGGAUGUGAA
rnacentral:rRNA from 2 species